rnacentral:rRNA from 1 species
CGGGACACGUGGUAUCCUGUCUGAAUAUGGGGGGACCAUCCUCCAAGGCUAAAUACUCCUGACUGACCGAUAGUGAACCAGUACCGUGAGGGAAAGGCGAAAAGAACCCCGGCGAGGGGAGUGAAAAAGAACCUGAAACCGUGUACGUACAAGCAGUGGGAGCCUCUUAAUGGGGUGACUGCGUACCUUUUGUAUAAUGGGUCAGCGACUUAUAUUCUGUAGCAAGGUUAACCGAAUAGGGGAGCCGAAGGGAAACCGAGUCUUAACUGGGCGUUAAGUUGCAGGGUAUAGACCCGAAACCCGGUGAUCUAGCCAUGGGCAGGUUGAAGGUUGGGUAACACUAACUGGAGGACCGAACCGACUAAUGUUGAAAAAUUAGCGGAUGACUUGUGGCUGGGGGUGAAAGGCCAAUCAAACCGGGAGAUAGCUGGUUCUCCCCGAAAGCUAUUUAGGUAGCGCCUCGUGAAUUCAUCUCCGGGGGUAGAGCACUGUUUCGGCAAGGGGGUCAUCCCGACUUACCAACCCGAUGCAAACUGCGAAUACCGGAGAAUGUUAUCACGGGAGACACACGGCGGGUGCUAACGUCCGUCGUGAAGAGGGAAACAACCCAGACCGCCAGCUAAGGUCCCAAAGUCAUGGUUAAGUGGGAAACGAUGUGGGAAGGCCCAGACAGCCAGGAUGUUGGCUUAGAAGCAGCCAUCAUUUAAAGAAAGCGUAAUAGCUCACUGGUCGAGUCGGCCUGCGCGGAAGAUGUAACGGGGCUAAACCAUGCACCGAAGCUGCGGCAGCGACGUUUAUGCGUUGUUGGGUAGGGGAGCGUUCUGUAAGCCUGCGAAGGUGUACUGUGAGGUAUGCUGGAGGUAUCAGAAGUGCGAAUGCUGACAUAAGUAACGAUAAAGCGGGUGAAAAGCCCGCU